UAAACACUGACAGGGGAAGGUUUAGGGCAACAUGAGGAAGGUGCUGGGUUGUGUGACGCGACACAGGUGUUGAAGCGUCGGUAAUCGCAGCCAGGUGUUGGGCUCUACUUACCUGGUGAAGCAUGUUUACUUUUUGAAGAUAAGUUUGAGUGUUGUAUCCAUGAAGAGCGUGUGAGGAGGAAGGGAGGACGGUGAGCCAUUGUGCGGCGGGAGGGUGCAGCCUAAUGGAUAUAUUCUGAGCAGACGUGAUAGUCGUGAUAAAAUCAAUGUUUGCCGCGUGGGAAGUGCUCCGGCUUAGACCAGUCAAAUAAAGAAAACGUUGAAGUGUAGCACAUUUUCCAAGGGAAGCGUAAACAGCAGUGGCAGGAGUCCAGUGGUAGGAGUCCAGUGGUAGGUGGGUGGCGCAGAGCGAGGCAGCGCAGCAGUUAUGCCCCGGGGCAGUUAUAUAAUACGCUCGCUAGUUGUGAGUUCAGCCGACAGGGGCAGCUGUCACGCCGUGCGUGGACAUUGUCAGUUGAGAAAAAUGGGCGUGACCAAGGAGAAGGAAAAUGAAGGGCAGUAGGAGCACCGUGGCCAGCAGGCGGCGGAGGGCCGGCCUAGGUGCCGUGAAGGGUGCCGAGAAAACAGAGGCGAGUUAUUUCUGUACCUUUGUGCGUGGCGGGCGGAGUGCGGCAGUGAAGGGGCGGGCGUGACGUGAGCUGUGCCGCCACUUCUCGUGCAGCCCUCUUAUCUCGCCCGCCUGUCUAUCAGUAGACACGGGCUAGGGAAACUAAGUGCAGUUCGGCAGGCAGCGAUGUGAUGUGUUGUAUGGGGCGUCAAGAAGUGUUGCAGUGGUGGCCUGUGUCCGGAUGGUGCCAAGAGCGAGAGCCACGUGGGGUUCUGGCGCCAGAGGGCCGCCCAUGGGCGUGGUGAUAGAUCACAGCUUGGUAGUGUAGGUGGUAGAGUGGCUCAGUUGUGGACAGACAGUGGAGGAAGGGGGAGAAGUGUUGUGGCGCGAGGAGCGAGUGUUGGGGUGGUGAAGCAACAAGUGUGUGAAAUGUGAGCGACCACCGUAGAGCGUAAUCCAUCAGUCAUUGUGGUAAUCCAGUGGUCCUACCUUACACAGCUUUAUGGUUUGUCACAUUGUCGUGACUUGUGUUCUCUCUGUGGAUACUGAUACCGCCUUACAAGUACGCGUCUUACGUAGCUGUUAUCCUGAAGACGACCGCAGCAGUGUGUUCCUGCGGCAGGAUGCAGUAAGGGCGUCACCGGACUCGUGGCCUGGCCAUGGGUUAGCACUCCCGUUAUGUAGGGGCCAUGGGAGAAGACGAUGAUACCUUGCUGCUGAGUGGAGACAUAGUGACGUUAGGCGUGGGAUCGUGCUCACUCUUGUCUGCCGUGUAGUGCCCCAACCUGUGACCGCAGCCAUGGCUGUAUGGCUCAUUUGCAUCACGGAGACUAUUGACCGCUAUCUGGGGUGAGUAUAUUGGACGAGUUCCCAGGUGUGGCAGCUCCCCUUCCACCUCCGGCUGUGCCUCGCUGUGGAGGGGUGAGCGCGAGGCAGUGAGGCAGAUAGACGCUGUGUACAGGAAACGGGCAUGUAAAGGUGUACAGUACAUUCGCACCUGUCUUUUAGUAUCUUACUUGAAGGGGAGCACGUGCUGACUUGUGCUAGGGAAAGGGGAGAGGGGUGGUACUCUGACCUUAUGGUGGGGGGUUGUGGAGGCGGUGGUGGAGGGGGCAGGUGUAGAUCUUCGUGAAGGCAAGGGUAGGAGAGGCUGAGGUGGUACUGUACAGUCACACUCACCCCUCUUCGCGGCCUUCCCUCCUUCUCGCUACACCCGCUUUGGGGAUUAAUGGCCCGGGGCUUUUCAGUAAUUGUCUCCCUUGUGGGGUGUCCCUGGCGCCAGUGUAAGGUCUAAUUGGGCGAUAAUUUUUCAGUAAGUGGAACACGUCAUACGAUGUUGGAGUAAUUGGGAGUCACUUUCCUUGAUGCUGGGUUUGCCUUAGCCUCAGUGUUUUACGGAGACCCUUUAUUGUCCUCUGCGAUGACUGGUGACUGACGCAGAGAGAGAGAGAGAGAGAGAGAGAGAGAGAGAGAGAGAGAGAGAGAGAGAGAGAGAGAGAGAGAGAGAGAGAGAGAGAGAGAGAGAGAGAGAGAGAGAGAGAGAGAGAGAGAGAGAGAGUGUUGAAUACUAAA